AGGGCACAUGGCGGAUGCCUUGGCUCUCGGAGGCGAUGAAGGACGUGAUAAGCUGCGAUAAGCUGCGGGUAGGUGCAAAUGACCUUUGAUCCGCGGAUUUCCGAAUGGGACAACCCGGUACUUUGAAGAAGUAUCAUCCUGCAUUGCAGGAGGCUAACGCAGGGAACUGAAACAUCUUAGUACCUGCAGGAAAAGAAAAUAAACAAUGAUUCCCCCAGUAGUGGCGAGCGAACGGGGAACAGCCCAAACCAUCCAUGUUACGGCAUGGGUGGGGUUGUAGGACCACGCCGUGGCAAGAAAGUUGGUGAGCAGAAUGUUCUGGAAAGUACAGCCAUAGAGCAUGACAGCUGCGUAUGCGAAGCCAAGCGAAGCCUAGUGGUAUCCUGAGUAGCGCGGAGCACGAGGAAUUCUGCGUGAAUCUGCCGGGACCAUCCGGUAAGGCUAAAUACUCCCGAGAGACCGAUAGUGAACCAGUACUGUGAAGGAAAGGUGAAAAGCACUUCGAACAGAAGAGUGAAAUAGUUCCUGAAACCAUGUGCCUACAAGCGGUCGGAGCACCUUCUGGUGUGACGGCGUGCCUUUUGCAUAAUGAACCUACGAGUUACUUUUUCCGGCGAGGUUAAGGAUUUCAGAUCUGCAGCCGAAGCGAAAGCGAGUCUGAACAGGGCGUAUAGUCGGAAGGAGUAGACGCGAAACCAAGUGAUCUACCCUUGGGCAGGUUGAAGGAUGGGUAACACCAUCUGGAGGACCGAACCAAUAAGCGUUGAAAAGCUUCUGGAUGACCUGAGGGUGGGGGUGAAAGGCUAAUCAAACUUGGAGAUAGCUCGUACUCCCCGAAAUGCAUUUAGGUGCAGCCUUGACUUAUACUGGCAUGAGGUAGAGCGACUGAUAAGAUGCGAGGGCUUCACCGCCUAUCAAGUCUUGACAAACUCCGAAUGCGUGUCAGUUCUAUGUCAGGAGUGAGGGCAUGGGUGCUAAGGUCCAUGUCCUAAAGGAGAACAAUCCGGACCAACAGCUAAGGUCCCGAAAUGAAUACUAAGUUGAACUAACGAAGUCAGAUUGCUAAGACAGCUAGGAUGUUGGCUUGGAAGCAGCCAUUCAUUUAAAGAGUGCGUAACAGCUCACUAGUCGAGGAGUUUGGCGUGGAUAAUAAUCGGGCAUAAGUAUUCUACCGAAGCUUUGGGAUGAGAAAUCAUCGGUAGGGGAGCAUUCCACUCGGCGUCGAAGGUGAAGCGCGAGCUUUGCUGGAGCGUGUGGAAAAGCAAAUGUAGGUAUAAGUAACGAUAAAGGGGGUGGGAAACCCCCUCGCCGAAAGACUAAGGUUUCCUGAUCAACGCUAAUCGGAUCAGGGUAAGUCGGGUCCUAAGGCUCAGCCGAACGGCGAGGCCGAUGGCAGAACCGGUUAAUAUUCCGGUACUACCUGUGGGAGUGACGUGGAGACGGAGUCGUGACAGCGCCGCGGACUGACGGAAUAGUCCGUUGAAGGGUGUAGAUGCUGAUUGUUCCAGGCAAAUCCGGAGCAAGAGUCGAACCUGACAGUAUGGAGCGUUCUUAGAACAAUCCAAUAGUGCGUGUAAUCAUACUUCCAAGAAAAUCCGCUAAACUUAAUCCUGCAGGUACCCGUACCGCAAACGGACACACGUAGUCGGGUUGAAUAUACUAAGGCGCUUGAGUGAUUCACGGUUAAGGAACUAGGCAAACUGACCCUGUAACUUCGGGAUAAAGGGUCCUCGCUUUACGGCGAGGCGCAGAGAAUAGGUCCAGGCAACUGUUUAACAAAAACACAGGGCUGUGCAAAAUUGAAAGAUGAAGUAUACAGCCUGACACCUGCCCGGUGCUGGAAGGUUAAGAGGAGAUGUCAUCGCAAGAGAAGCAUUGAAUUGAAGCCCCAGUAAACGGCGGCCGUAACUAUAACGGUCCUAAGGUAGCGAAAUUCCUUGUCGGGUAAGUUCCGACCUGCACGAAUGGUGUAAUGAUCUGGACGCUGUCUCAACCGUGAGCUCAGUGAAAUUGUAGUAUCGGUGAAGAUGCCGAUUACCCGCGAUGG
rnacentral:rRNA from 1 species